rnacentral:rRNA from 1 species
UACGUAGGGUGCAAGCGUUAAUCGGAAUUACUGGGCGUAAAGCGUGCGCAGGCGGUUUUGUAAGUCUGUCGUGAAAGCCCCGAGCUCAACUUGGGAAUGGCAUUGGAAACUGGCGGGCUGGAGUGUGGCAGAGGGGGGUGGAAUUCCACGUGUAGCAGUGAAAUGCGUAGAGAUGUGGAGGAACACCGAUGGCGAAGGCAGCCCCCUGGGCCAACACUGACGCUCAGGCACGAAAGCGUGGGGAGCAAACAGG